CCGCGAGCCAGGCGCGUCCCAGGACCUGCAGUCGGAGACCCAGGCCGGCCGCCGGGGAGCCGGGCGGAGCUCACAGAUUGAGCCAAAGCCACUGACCCUGGGGAUGCUCAUGAGGAGGGAACCCUGGAGCCAGCCCACCCGUGUGAAAAUCCUGCCUCUGCCACUGUCUGCGUGACCUUGGAUGCAUCACUGAGAAGGGAGCUGCCAUAGACCCCUCAAGGAAGAGGAAGGCCAUGCCUGGAAUACAGACUGCAAUCCCGCACUCCUGCUGCCGUGGGUAGUGGAGGAAGAUGCUGUGGAAGAUGUUGCGAGGCCGGAAGACCUCUUUGGGGAAGACAUCAAGGAGCAGGUGUCCUGGCUGAACCUCGAGUGCAAAGGUGAAUAGAAGUGGCCAGAGUGCACGUCCUUGUCUUGUUCCUGGUGUUAGGGGGAAAGCAUCCAGUCUUUCGUCAUUAACUAUGAUGUCAGCCAUUGGAUUGUCCACCGAUGACUUACUGGGUUGAGGACAUUCCUUUCUAUUACUAGACGCUGAGUAUUUUUAUCAGAAAGGGCAUUCAUUAUAUUUUGUCAAAUGAUUUUGCAAUUAUUGAACUCAUGUGAAUUUUGUCCUUUAGUCUAUUAAUAUCAUGUAUUACAUUAAUUUUCAACUGUUAAAUUCAUAUUGCAUUUCUCUGAUAAAUUCCACUUGGUCAUGCUGUUUAAUUCUUUUUAUUUGCUGCUAGAUUGGGAUGCAAGUAUUUUGUUGAGGACUUUUGCAUUCAUAUUCAUAAGAGAACCUGGGCUAGAGUUUUCAUUUCAUGUUGUAUCUGUUUGCUUUGGUAUCAGGGUGAUGUUGGUCUCAUAAAAUGAGCUGGAAAGUAUUUGGCUCACUCUUACCACCAUUUAAACUUUCUCUAGCAUCUCUUUCCGCCUCUGCUCCACAUCUCUGUUCCAUUUAUAGCACAGCUUCUCUCAAGAGGUGUCUGCAUAUUAUACUCCUUUCUCACUCUUUCUUACUUGGCUGCUGCCCCAGCCACUCCAGUGACACCACUCCUGUAAAGACCGCUUGUGUGUUCUCCAUUAACAAAGCCAGUGAUUAUUUCUUUGGCCUCAUUUUGCUCAAUUUCUCAGAAGUAUCUCGCAUGGGUGAGGCCCUCCUCCCAUGCUGACACUCUUGAUUUUCUUCCUAGCACCCAGGCCUGUUUUUUAGCCAGUCAGCAAGCCCUGCUUCCUUCUCUAAAGUCUGCAAUGUUUGCAAACUUGAAUGUGCAGAUGAAUCACUGAGGAUCUUAUUAAAAUGCAGAUCCUGAUUCAGCAGGUCCAGUGGAGCCAGAAACUGUACAUCUAACAAACAUCCAAGUGAUGCUGAUUGCUGCUGGUCUGGAGACCAAAUUUUGAGUAAUAAGGCUGCAAAGAAUCCCACAUUCUGAAUUUGUCUGCUACCCUAAGACAUCAUUCAACUACCAAAAGAGGUGUUCUUCUCCUCUCUGUAUUCCUGUAGGCAGCUCUAAUGGUUUUUUUAACUGUGUUCAUAUUAGAAUUAUCUUGGGAGCUUUAAAAAAUUCCCAUGCCCAGGUCAUACCCCAGAUACACUGAAUCAAAAUAUACAGAGGUAGGGCCCAGGUAUUAACAUUCUAAAUCACCCCAAUGAUUCUAACGUGCACCUGAGAUUAAGACCUUAUUCUAAACCCUUGCUAUUCAAAGAGUAUCUAUGGGACCAGCUGCAUUUGUAUCAUCAUCUGGGAGCUUAUGAGAAAUGCCAAAUCUCAACCUUAAUCCAGACCUACUGAAUCAGAAUCUGCAUUGUAACAAAACUCCAGGUUUCUCCUAUGUGUGUUAAGGUCUGAGAAAUGAUGAUCAACGUGCUGAUUCUCCUAAAUGUUUAUCACCAGUCCUGAACCCAAGUCUCCUGACCUAAAUGCCACUUUGGUAUUUUCCCCAGCCAUCUCAAACUUAUUUUGCUCCAAAACAUAUCCCUGCUUAAACGUGUGCCUCCUCAUCUUAGCCAAUGACAUCACUGCUGCUAGUCAUUCAGAUCACAAACCUGGGAAUUCUGAGUCCACUGUGUCCCUCACUCCCCCAGUCCAAUUCAUCAUCUACUUCUGUUGCUUCCAAAUCCAUCUUAAAUGCAUCCAUUUCUCUGCAGGCCACCACUCCAGUCCAUGAUCUCUUUUCACCUAUCUAGUCUCAACUUCUUUCCUUACCUGCCACCAGUGGUCUCCCUGCAGUGGUCAGAGGGAGCUUUUUAAAAUGUAAAGUAAAUUUAGUGUUCUCUGCCUAAAAUCACUGAAACAGCACACAAAAUUAAAUCAGAUAGAAUCUGCCU